UACGGGGGGGGGCAAGCGUUGUUCGGAAUUACUGGGCGUAAAGGGCUCGUAGGCGGCCAACUAAGUCAGACGUGAAAUCCCUCGGCUUAACCGGGGAACUGCAUCUGAUACUGGAUGGCUUGAGUUCGGGAGAGGGAUGCGGAAUUCCAGGUGUAGCGGUGAAAUGCGUAGAUAUCUGGAGGAACACCGGUGGCGAAGGCGGCAUCCUGGACCGACACUGGACGCUGAGGAGCGAAGCCAGGGGAGCAAACGGGG
rnacentral:rRNA from 1 species